GUGAAUCAUCGAAUCUUUGAACGCAAAUUGCGCCUUUUUCGGAAGGCAUGUCCGUUUGUGGGCACCAUUUAUCAAAUACUGUGAAGCGUUUUUUGUUGCACACGUUGAUGAGCUUUGCAAGAAUUUUAAAUCUUUGGUGGCGCAUAAUGAGCAGCGUGGAAGUUUUUUUUAGUUCGAGUGUAGUAAAAUCUUUGCUUGGGUUGUGAAAAAACAUAAUCGCGCCAUGGGUGUGGCAAUUUCUUUGUAUCCCUGCCCCUAUGCCACUCUUUCUCACGGAAGUAUGUCU
rnacentral:misc_RNA from 1 species